GACGAACGCUGGCGGCGUGCUUAACACAUGCAAGUCGAACGAAGUGGCGAACGGGUGAGUAAUGCGUAAUCAACCUGCCCUUCAGAGGGGGAUAACAGUUGGAAACGACUGCUAAAACCGCAUACUGAUGGAGGGGAUUGUGGUGGGUUAGCUAGUUGGAGGGGUGACGGCCCCCGAAGGCGAUGAACAGUAGCCGGUCGGGGAGGAUGAACGGCCACAUUGGGACUGGGACACGGCCCAGACUCCCUCGGGAGGCAGCCGUUGGGAAUCGUCCGCAAUGGACGAAAGUCGUACGGAGCAACGGCGCGGGAGUGAUGACGGCCUUCGGGUUGUAAAGCUCGGUUAAUCGGGACGCGGUACCGGCAUAGGAAGCCCCGGCUAACUACGUGCCAGCAGCCGCGGUAAUAC
rnacentral:rRNA from 1 species